GCAUAUCAAUAAGCGGAGGAAAAGAAACCAACAGGGAUUGCCCUAGUAACGGCGAGUGAAGCGGCAAUAGCUCAAAUUUGAAAGCUGGCCUUUGGUCCGCAUUGUAAUUUGUAGAGGAUGCUUUUAGGCAGCCGCCGGUCUAAGUUCCUUGGAACAGGACGUCAUAGAGGGUGAGAAUCCCGUAUGUGACCGGCUCAGGCACCUUCUGUAAAGCUCCUUCGACGAGUCGAGUUGUUUGGGAAUGCAGCUCUAAAUGGGAGGUAAAUUUCUUCUAAAGCUAAAUACUGGCGAGAGACCGAUAGCGCACAAGUAGAGUGAUCGAAAGAUGAAAAGUACUUUGGAAAGAGAGUUAAAAAGCACGUGAAAUUGUUGAAAGGGAAGCGCUUGCAAUCAGACUUGGCCUCGGUUGUUCAACCGGUCUUUUGACCGGCCUAUUCAAUCGGGGGCAGGCCAGCAUCAGUUUCGGCGGCCGGAUAAAGGCCUUGGGAAUGUGGCCUCUCCUUCGGGGGAGGUGUUAUAGCCCAGGGUGUAAUACGGUCAGCUGGGACUGAGGUCCGCGCUUCGGCUAGGAUGCUGGCGUAAUGGUUGUAAGCGGCCCGUCUUGAAACACGGACCAAGGAGUCUAACAUCUAUGCGAGUGUUAGGGUGUCAAACCCUUACGCGUAAUGAAAGUGAACGGAGGUGGGAACCCGCAAGGGUGCACCAUCGACCGAUCCUGAUGUCUUCGGAUGGAUUUGAGUAAGAGCAUAGCUGUUGGGACCCGAAAGAUGGUGAACUAUGCCUGAAUAGGGUGAAGCCAGAGGAAACUCUGGUGGAGGCUCGCAGCGGUUCUGACGUGCAAAUCGAUCGUCAAAUUUGGGUAUAGGGGCGAAAGACUAAUCGAACCAUCUAGUAGCUGGUUCCUGC
rnacentral:rRNA from 1 species